AUUUGGUGCUGGGGGCACUUGAUACACAACUUCUUGAAUCGCUCCCAGUAGUCGUACAGUGACUCCCCUGGGUACUGCUUGAUACCACAGAUCUCUUUUUUUAGACU